CUUGGAUUCACAAAUAUGCAUAUAGGCUCCAGAAUUCAGAAUGCCAUAAAAAAGUUAAUUAAGAUAGAAAGAAGAAAUUUGAGUCUUGUCUGGUUCUGGAUAGUACGGCGGCUUCCACUCUACUGAGACAAGGCAAAUCUACUAUAGCAGUAGCUUUCAGUCCAACCACAUUUGUUUUGAUUCCAGUUCUGUUCCAAUAAACUUAUUUAUGAUGCAUAUAUAAAGAGUGUGUAGGAGAGCCCUUCUUAU
rnacentral:lncRNA from 12 species